rnacentral:misc_RNA from 1 species
GUAGGUGAACCUGCGGAGGGAUCAUUACCGAGUGAGGGCCUCCGGUCCGACCUCCAACCCUUUGCUGACCAACACCUGUUGCCUCGGGGGCGACCUGGACGCCGACGCGUCGGCGUCGGGCACCCCGACGGACCAUUUCAACUCUUGUGUCUGUACGUCGGAGUACUUUGCGAAUCAAUUAAAACUUUCAACAGCGGAUCUCUUGGUUCUGGCAUCGAUGAAGAACGCAGCAUCUGACUGACUUGGGAUG